GUAACCGAAAUGAGUGGAGGAGCCAUGUCGAUCCAUUCCGCUAAAGAAGCCGUGUUUGGACUCGCCUGUGGCGGCUCCCCACCACCGCCCUCCUCGAUCGCGUCGCCCCGGUCGCACGAUGGGUGGGCCCCGUCGUCCUCCGGCGCCGCAAUCUCGCCAACGCGCUCGGCUCCCUGAUCUUGGAUCUGAGCGACCGGAGCGGGCGCGGAAGGCGAUUGGAUCGGAGACCGUGCUGGAUGAUUCAUCUCUUUCUUCCUAUGGAGGUCUCUCCAUCUUUGGCAGUGGGGAUGUUUCAUGGCUUCUGGUUUGCUGUUGUAGGGAACCAUGCAAUGGAUAAGGUGUUUAAAAUAUGCUGCCAUGGGGAGAAGAUAUGAGAUUCAAGUAGGCUAAUGGACUGAUGUGGCCAAUUCUGAGCGCCAUGCUUCGAUGGCAGACAUGCUUCUUGAUGCAUAUUAUAAGUUUUUUUCUUUUUAAAAAAAAUCAAGUAAAAGGAAGGAGGGACUUGGUCCAUUAUAUUUUAUUCAAAGAACACAGUACACAAGUACACAAAGAAUAGUCUGAAACAUGAAAACGAGAAGAGAAGGAUGACAAGAGGCUGUCUUCGUCGGUGAGUCCAUGGAAGGAGAUGGUGGGAAGAUGGACUGAGAACUCAAAAGUGCAGUCACUCGUGAAGAAUGAAUGGGUAUCGGACUUGCAGGUAUCCUUGCUCGAGGACAUGGAACCAUUCAACCAAGGCAAAGUUUACUGCUUUGAAGUAGCACACUGGUAGUUGUGCAGGAAAAGGGCAGUGGUAAGUCAUAUGGUCUGUAGCUUGGAGAGGACCACAGGGAUGGGGGGGGGCGGCGAGGUGGUGGCGGUGUCUGUGAGGUCUGGCUCAGCAUCAAUUAACAGUUGGUGACAGGUAGUAAGGGAGCAUCAACCAAUAUUGGACCUGUCGUAGGGGAAUUAAAUUAUUAAACUAUAGAUAACAGGCGUCAGAUGUACAACACUGCUGCAAGCCGUUGAUGCUUUGUCACUGCAACACGAUACACAACACGUCAGAUAGAGUGACCUUUUUUUUCGUGUUAAAAGAAUAAUAAAAAAACAUUAUUUA